UCCCUCCCUUAGCUCGCCACUGCUCCUCGCCAUCGAACCCAACUCUGGCUAGUGGUGUUGUACACCGCCUAUUGCAAACUGACCGACAACCUUUCGUGAGCAAAACCCCUCUAGCCCCAUAUAGUGAAACGUCUCCAUUAGCAGUGAAUUGAUGAUCAAAGCUUCACCGAGAACCUUUGUCGUCAAAGUUAUUUUCACGUUUUAGCAUCGAUUUCGUCGUCGUUCAGACACACCGCCCUUAUCAUGGUAUUUCUCACCCGUUUCUGACCAAAAUUUGACUCUCUUUGUGCUUCAUCAUUGUCGAUUCUCCGGCCACCAUGGUUGCACUUCAUGGACUUGGUUGCCGAAAACCAUCUAUUUUGAACAUCGCAGUCGCCCCACACGUCGCUCCUGCACGUGGGGGUUGUUUUUUCAACUGAGGAGCUUCUAGAAUGGCUCGAGCCGAGCCGAUUAUCCUUAGCCGAGUUGAUCCUAUCAACCCGAUACGAGUUGGCCCAAGUCGAGCCAUCAUCCAAGCUGAGCCACUGUUGAGUCAAGCUGUUUAAGCCUAUAAGUCGAUCCGUUGACCAAGCUAUUGACCGUUGACUUAAAUAGAGUUGACUGUGACCUUGACUAGGGUUGACUUUGACCAAAAAGUCAAAUUUUCGAAAAGUCAUCUUUUAUGUUUUUCGACGUACUGAGUCCAAAUUUGAAGUCUAUUUUGCCAAAUUCAAACUUGGUAAGCUAUUUUUGGAAUUUUAUUUCCCGAUUAAAUACGAAUUUUCACGUUUAAGUUCCGUUUCUAAUGUAAUUUGUUUUAACAUGUACCCGAGACAUUAUGGGGCGUGGAAUUAAAGUUUGAGGGCGAUCAAAUGGUGUUUCAUUGGUUAACCGAUGUGGCUAAAAAAUUGAGGUUAAAGGGUUUGAUCUUGUGCUUGUAUCGACAUCAGUAAUGGAGUCCCACCGGCAUUGUUUGCGGAGUACGGUGCAUGUAAUUAGGCGGC